AAUAUCCCAAAUACUUAACACAUAAUAACAACAUUAAAUCAAAAUAAGCUAAUGCUAUUUUAUUAUUUUAUAGGCACUCAUGUGUAAGUUUAUAUUUUAUGUAAUUUGAAAAUUAUUGGAAACAACAUCGUGUGUUUUUCAUAAACGAAGGACAAAAUGUAAAUUUUAACUAGGAGUCGUGGUGGUAGCAUCCCCACACCUAGUUACCACAUCAUGGAAUCCAUUCCUACCGCUCCUCAAUUAACACCUUCAAAAUGUAACUUCCCAAUACCUUCAAAAUGUAACUCCCCAAUCUAUUGAAAAAAUAAUUAAAAAUAAAACAGUUAUAGGCAAGACAAUGUGAUUGGGCCCAUCUCAGAUGGCUG
rnacentral:lncRNA from 1 species